rnacentral:rRNA from 1 species
UACGUAGGGCGCAAGCGUUGUCCGGAAUUAUUGGGCGUAAAGAGCUCGUAGGCGGCUUGUCACGUCGGGUGUGAAAGCCCGGGGCUUAACCCCGGGUCUGCAUCCGAUACGGGCAGGCUAGAGUGUGGUAGGGGAGAUCGGAACUCCUGGUGUAGCGGUGAAAUGCGCAGAUAUCAGGAGGAACACCGGUGGCGAAGGCGGUUCUCUGGGCAUUACCUGACGCUGAGGAGCGAAAGUGUGGGGAGCGAACAGG